rnacentral:rRNA from 1 species
AAAUAGGUCUUGGAAUAAGGGGUGGGUAAGGACGGUGCCAGCCGCCGCGGUAAUACCGGCGCCUCAAGUGGUAGUCGCUUUUAUUGGGCCUAAAACGUCCGUAGCCGGUCUGAUACAUUCGUGGGUAAAUCAACCAGCUUAACUGGUUGAAUUCUGCGAGGACGGUCAGACUUGGGACCGGGAGAGGUGUGGGGUACGCUCAGGGUAGGGGUAAAAUCCUGUCAUCCUGAGCGGACCACCUGUUGCGAAGGCGCCACACUAGAACGGAUCCGACGGUCAGGGACGAAGCCUAGGGGCACGAACCGGAUUAGAUACCCGGGUAGUCCUAGGUGUAAACGCUGUGGACUUGAUGUUGGGGGUGCUCCGAGCACUCUCAGUGUCGAAGCGAAGGUGAUAAGUCCACUGCCUGGG